rnacentral:rRNA from 1 species
UACGUAGGGUGCAAGCGUUGUCCGGAAUUAUUGGGCGUAAAGAGCUCGUAGGCGGUUUGUCGCGUCUGCUGUGAAAAUCCAGGGCUUAACCCUGGACCUGCAGUGGGUACGGGCAGACUAGAGUGCGGUAGGGGAGAUCGGAAUUCCUGGUGUAGCGGUGAAAUGCGCAGAUAUCAGGAGGAACACCGGUGGCGAAGGCGGGUCUCUGGGCCGUAACUGACGCUGGAGGAGCGAAAGCGUGGGGAGCAAACAGG